CUGAAAACACCGGUUCACGUUCGAUCACUAAAGUUAAGUGGCGUUGAGCCCGGUUAGUAUUUAGAUGGGGGACUGUUUAAGAAGACUGGGU